GGGAGUAUAGCUCAGUGGUAAAGUGCGUGCUUAGCAUGUGCGAGGUCCUGGGCUCAAUCUCCAGUAUUUCCA
rnacentral:tRNA from 1 species